rnacentral:rRNA from 1 species
GUAGGGAAUAUUGGGCAAUGGAUGCAAGUCUGACCCAGCCAUCCCGCGUGCCGGAAGCAGGCCCUCAGGGUUGUAAACGGCUUUUGACGGUGAAGAACUGCCAGGAUGAGUCCUGUUUUUACGGUAGCUGUUGAAUAAGCACCUGCUAACUCCGUGCCAGCAGCCGCGGUACAACGGAGGGUGCGCGCGUUGGCCGGAUUUAUUGGGUUUAAAGGGUUCGUAGGCUGGAAGGUCAGUCAGCGGUGAAAAGCUAUCGCUGAACGAUAGUCUUGCCGCAGAUACUUCCUUUCGUGGAUGAGGAGGAGGCCACUGGAACGGAUGGUGUAGCGGUAAAAUGCAUAGAUGUCAUCGAGAACACCGAUUGCGAAGGCAGGUGGCUGUACCUUAAUCGACGCUGAUGCGCGAAAGCAUGGGGAGCAAACAGGAUUAGAUACCCGGGUAGUCC